CUGCCCAACGUACGUAUGAAGGUCCUUUCUCCUUAAAAGCUGCUUCAACGUUUUGAUAUUCAUUCUCAAUCUGUUGAAGAAAUUCAAGGUUAUGGGGAAAUUGCAUUUGGAGGCACAAGAUUGUUGAACCAGCUAAUGCAUGUGAACCAGAAUUGCGACAAUUAAGAGUGAUGGUAAUCUUCUCAUAUCUCAACUUUGCUUUCAUAUUACUUCAUAUGUGUGCCAACUCUAUGCAGUCCUUAUUGGGGAUAAUGUUAGGGGCCGGAAAGAGUGCUUCUCAUAUCACGGAAACCUCAUUAUGAUGCUGCUCUACGUCUUAUACGUUAUUUGGAAGGUCAAAUGCAGUGUUCCGUUAGGGGCCGGAAAGAGGUGCAAGGGACUAUUGCUUGGUGCAGUGGUAAAGUGCUCAUGCUAUCAAGCAUGAGAAUGGUGAGUUCGAAUCCUGAGAGCAGACACUUUGUGCAAAUAAUGUUGAAAGUUAGGUUUGUAUCUAGUUUUCCCCUCCCAACACUCCCAAUUAUGGAAAUGAGAUUUGUUAUGCUUAGCUGUGUUGUUAGAGAAUAGAGGUUAAUAGUUUUCUGAAAAAUGUUGUAUAAGAACAGAGAUUAAAAAAAAUGCCAAAUUUCAUGGAACAA